rnacentral:rRNA from 1 species
GACGAACGCUGGCGGUGUGCUUCACACAUGCAAGUCGAACGAAGUAGCAAUACUUAGUGGCGGACGGGUGAGUAACGCGUAGGAAUCUGCCUUUAGAUGGGGGAUAACUGACCGAAAGGUCAGCUAAUACCGCAUAUGUAUGUGACCCGACAGGGUCGUAUAUGAAAGGAGCAAUCCGUCUAUAGAUGAGCCUGCGUCCGAUUAGCUAGUUGGUAA